rnacentral:rRNA from 1 species
ACGCACGCUGGCGGCGUGCUUAACACCUGCAAGUCGAACGGGAUUUAGUAAACGGAAGCCUCGGUGGAAGAUUACUAAUGAGAGUGGCGAACGGGUGAGUAACGCGUGAGCAACCUGCCUAUGACAGUGGGAUAGCCUCGGGAAACCGGGAUUAAUACCGCAUAAAAUCGUAGAAACACAUGUUUCAACGGUCAAAGAUUUAUCGGUCAUAGAUGGGCUCGCGUCUGAUUAGCUAGUUGGUGAGAUAACAGCCCACCAAGGCGACGAUCAGUAGCCGGUCUGAGAGGAUGAACGGCCACAUUGGAACUGAGACACGGUCCAAACUCCUACGGGAGGCAGCAGUGGGGAAUAUUGCACAAUGGGGGAAACCCUGAUGCAGCGACGCCGCGUGAACGAAGAAGGUAUUCGUAUCGUAAAGUUCUGUCCUAUGGGAAGAUAAUGACAGUACCAUAGAAGAAAGCUCCGGCUAAAUACGUG